GCUGGAGCUUCUACAGGUGGCACUGAUGCUAGUUCCUCCCCUACUUCUCAGCCUACCACUCCAAGUCUUAGCGGUGAUAUACCUAUUGAUGAUCCAUAAAAUGAUUGUCAAGAAAAUGCCGACAAAACAUUAAACAAAUUGCCAUUUAAAAACAUGGUGGGAUUUUUGAAAAUAAAUAAUUAGUUCUAUAAAUAGAAUGUUAUGAUUUUCAUUAAUUUUAUGAAUUGUUUUUCAUAUAUAUAUUUUCA
rnacentral:lncRNA from 1 species